rnacentral:rRNA from 1 species
UACGUAGGGUGCAAGCGUUGUCCGGAAUUAUUGGGCGUAAAGAGCGUGUAGGCGGCCAGAUAGGUCUGCUGUGAAAACUCGAGGCUUAACCUCGAGAUGUCGGCGGAAACCAUCUGGCUAGAGUCCGGAAGAGGAGAAUGGAAUUCCCGGUGUAGCGGUGAAAUGCGCAGAUAUCGGGAAGAACACCCGUGGCGAAGGCGGUUCUCUGGGACGGUACUGACGCUGAGGCGCGAAAGCGUGGGGAGCAAACAGG